AGUAGUAGUUGGAGUCGUUGGUCUGGGCGUCGGUCUUGGCGUAGGUCUUGGCGUAGGUCUUGGCGUCGGUUUUGGCGUAGGUCUCGGCGUAGGUGUCGGCGUAGGUGUCGGCGUAGGACUUGGUGUAGGACUUGGUGUAGGACUUGGCGUAGUGGGUGACGGCAAAGGUGGAGGAGGCAUGCCUGGGGGAGGGACAGCUGG
rnacentral:lncRNA from 1 species